rnacentral:rRNA from 1 species
AUACGGAGGGUGCAAGCGUUAUCCGGAUUUAUUGGGUUUAAAGGGUCCGUAGGCGGGCCGAUAAGUCAGUGGUGAAAUCUCGCAGCUUAACUGUGAAACUGCCAUUGAUACUGUUGGUCUUGAGUAAAUUUGAAGUGGCUGGAAUAAGUAGUGUAGCGGUGAAAUGCAUAGAUAUUACUUAGAACACCAAUUGCGAAGGCAGGUCACUAAGAUUUAACUGACGCUGAUGGACGAAAGCGUGGGUAGC